rnacentral:rRNA from 1 species
UGAAUACGAGACGCUAAGGCGUCGAAGUAGUGUAUGUCAUACUUCCAAGAAAAGCUUGCACUGUCAUAGAUAAAAAACGCCUGUACCAUAACCGACACAGGUGGGUAGGUAGAGUAUACUAAGGGGCGCGAGAUAACUCUCUCUAAGGAACUCGGCAAAAUAACUCCGUAACUUCGGGAGAAGGAGUGCCUUAUUCUUAAGGUUGCAAUAACAAGAUCCAAGCAACUGUUUAUCAAAAACACGGGUCUCCGCUAAGUCGUAAGACGAUUUAUGGGGGCUGACGCCUGCCCAGUGCCAGAAGGUUAAAGAAGUUGGUUAGCAAUUGCGAAGCUGAUAACUGAAGCCCUGGUGAACGGCGGCCGUAACUAUAACGGUCCUAAGGUAGCGAAAUUCCUUGUCGGGUAAGUUCCGACCCGCACGAAAGGCGUAAUGAUUUGGAUACUGUCUCGGAGAGGGGCUCGGUGAAAUAGACUUGUCUGUGAAGAUGCGGACUACCUGCACCAGGACAGAAAGACCCUAUGAAGCUUUACUGUAACUUGAAAUUGAAAUUGGACUUUAUUCGCGCAGUAUAGGUGGGAGGCGUUGAUUAUAAUCUUGUGGGAUUAUUGGAGCCAUCAGUGAGAUACCACUCUUGUAAUGUUAGAUUUCUAACUUUGAAUCAUUAUCUGGUCAAAGAACAGUUUCAGGCGGGCAGUUUGACUGGGGCGGUCGCCUCCCAAACGGUAACGGAGGCGUACAAAGGUUUCCUCUGAACGGUUAGAAAUCGUAUCUAGAGUGUAAAGGCAUAAGGAAGCUUGACUGUGAGACCUACAAGUCGAGCAGGGACGAAAGUCGGUCUUAGUGAUCUGACGGUACUGAGUGGAAAGGCCGUCACUCAACGGAUAAAAGUUACUCUAAGGAUAACAGGCUGAUCUCCCCCAAGAGUUCACAUCGACGGAGAGGUUUGGCACCUCGAUGUCGGCUCAUCGCAUCCUGGGGCGGUAGUACGUCCCAAGGGUUGGGCUGUUCGCCCAUGAAAGCGGUACGCGAGCUGGGUUCAGAACGUCGUGAGACAGUUCGGUCCAUAUCCGGUGUAGGCGUUAGAAUAUUGAGAGGAGCCUUCUUUAGUACGAGAGGACCGAGAAGGACAUACCUCUGGUGUACCAGUUAUCGUGCCAACGGUAAACGCUGGGUAGCUAUGUAUGGAGUGGAUAACCGCUGAAAGCAUCUAAGUGGGAAGCCCACCUCAAGAUAAGUAUUCUCAUC